CUAGAAAAAAGAGUUGAUCCUCUCACAUUUCUACAUAUCACCUUACCUCCCUCUAUUUAAGGGCUACUUGGUUGAUGAUGUAAGGUCAUUGGAAAGUGAAAACACAAAGCGUUUGACCGGUCAGAGUGAAGAUCAACAGGAGUUUGGAAAGCAUGGCAGAUGCGAACAACUAUUUUCAGGAAGAUGGAACAUCUUCAAAGCUGGAAACUUUGCAAAAACAACACAAGAAGAAAACCGAGAAAAUCCAUGAACUCAAGAAUCAAAUUGAAAGCUUGAAGUCUCGACUAGAUGAAACAAAGAAUGUUGUUUCAAAGGGUAGCGAUGAGUCAAUGAAGAAGUUAAGUGAAAACUACAACCAACUACGAGACGAGUACAAUCUGCUCCUUGGUCAGAAAUCCAACAAAAAGCAAGUCAAUUAAGGGCCUUUAUUUAAUCGAUUGCGAUGUUUGUUAGAUUUUAACUUCUAUUUAAAAAAGAACACCAUUGUGUGUUCAUGGUAUCUUCUCUUUGUUAUUUCACAAGUGAGAAUGAUUUUAUAGGUUUAACGAGUGAAUUUAAGCUAGGUUAACAUCAACUCGGACACACGGCAAUAAAGGUACGAGCCAAACUGGCUCAGCUCGUAGUGUUCAAUCUAAGAGUUGAGGUUCAUCUCGUAUUCAACUCAAGCCAACUCUUGGCUUAAUGAGCUUAGCUGCUUUUUA